rnacentral:tRNA from 1 species
AAUUUAAUAGUUUAAAAAAAACAAUAAUUUUGUAAAUUAAUAAUAGAAAUAUAUUUCUUUAAAUUA